CAAGUCUGUGAGGCCCGCCCAUGUGAUGUCAAGGGCUUUGGAGGCCCCUGAUGCACAGCAUCCUGCAGAGCAACACCUAUAUGAGUUGUUGGGCAGAGAGGCCCCAGAGGCUCCCAAAAUAAUAUGGUCCAUUGUCCUUGUUCUUGAUUGCUCACCAGAAGUAAAUGCCCACAGGCAACCGGUUCCAUUGCUGUGGGCUUAAUGAAGGGCUGAAUGUUACCAGCGAGGAGCGAAGCAACUUACCUUGAAGCAGACAGGAAACAAAGGGGAAGAUCCCGUACACCAUUUCAGAGCAUGCUCUGGUGAUCUACUCCCCCUCAACCAAUGAACAUCUCCUGCUUUCCGCCACCUCCUCAAACACCAAAGUACUGUGAAUUCACCAGGGAGUUAACCACUGAUCGGAACUUCAGAGCCCUUAGGACUCAAUUACUUCCUAAACUAGCAACAAUACCACCACUAGAAAAGCCCGUGGAGGUCAAACAUCACAUUCAAACUAUGAUAGCCCACCCCUGAACUUAAAUGCUCAUGUGUAUUUUACAACAUAAAAUUAAUUAAGCCCACCUCCAAGAGUCUCUGAUAGUCUUAACGUUCUCAGUUUAAUUUAAAUGUCUCCUCUGCAAUUAAAGGUAUACUUAACUGCGAUUCUCUGCAGUUUAAUUUAAAAUG